AUGCCAGUGUUCAGGGCAGCAAGUUCAGUUUCUGACAAAGGAAAAGGGGUUGCAACUGAGGAGAUGCAGUUUUCAGGUGAAUCUGACAGUGACAGUGACUAUGUUGUGCCUCCUGCAGAGAGCAAUAGUUCUGCUGAAGAUGAAGAAAUCAUUGAGUCUAGAAAAUAUGCCAAAGAAUUCAAGGAGAAAAGGAGAAAGAAGAUGCUAGGGGAGGAAGAAGCACAAGCUUGCAAUGUUACUGAUGAUUUCAUUGUACUAGAAACAUGUAAGUUGGAUGAUGAUGUAGAUGACACCCCCUACUUUGAGAGUGAUGGGCACAUUCCAUUUUUUAUAAUGAUAAAUGUGUCGGAGACGUUGUCGGAUGGCCUCGACGGUCUUGUCAUUGCACUGUUGAUGUUUUGUAGGAUCAACCAGCAAAAACAACCAGGAAAAAAAAGGCAAGAACACACCUCAGCAAGCAGGUCCAUGCUCUCAGCCAACAACAAGUUCACAAGCAGCUCCAAGGCCACAAGCAGCUCCAAGGGCACCAACAAGGGCUCCAGCAGCUACAAGGGUACCAGCACCAACAAGGGCUCCUGCAGCUACAAGGGCACCAAGGCCAUUUAG
rnacentral:rRNA from 1 species